rnacentral:rRNA from 1 species
UACGGGGGGGGCAAGCGUUGUUCGGAAUUACUGGGCGUAAAGGGCUCGUAGGUGGCCAACUAAGUCAGACGUGAAAUCCCUCAGCUUAACUGGAGAACUGCGUCUGAUACUGGAUGGCUUGAGUUUGGGAGAGGGAUGCGGAAUUCCAGGUGUAGCGGUGAAAUGCGUAGAUAUCUGGAGGAACACCGGUGGCGAAGGCGGCAUCCUGGACCAACACUGACACUGAUGAGCGAAAGCCAGGGGAGCAAACGGG